rnacentral:rRNA from 1 species
GUGCCAGCCGCCGCGGUAAUACGUAGGGUGCGAGCGUUGUCCGGAAUUACUGGGCGUAAAGAGCUCGUAGGUGGUUUGUCGCGUUGUUCGUGAAAUCUCACGGCUUAACUGUGAGCGUGCGGGCGAUACGGGCAGACUAGAGUACUGCAGGGGAGACUGGAAUUCCUGGUGUAGCGGUGGAAUGCGCAGAUAUCAGGAGGAACACUGGUGGCGAAGGCGGGUCUCUGGGCAGUAACUGACGCUGAGGAGCGAAAGCGUGGGGAGCGAACAGGAUUAGAUACCCUGGUAGUCCACGCCGUAAACGGUGGGUACUAGGUGUGGGUUUCCUUCCUUGGGAUCCGUGCCGUAGCUAACGCAUUAAGUACCCCGCCUGGGGAGUACGGCCGCAAGGCUAAAACUCAAAGGAAUUGACGG